UUUGUUCUGCUGAGACGCUGCCUCUUUGACAGUGAUGAUGAGGUUCGUGAUAGGGCAACACUUUAUCUUAAUACACUUGGUGGUGAUGGUCAAGUUGUUGAAACUGAUAAAGACGUACAAGCCUUUCUCUUUGGUCCACUAGAUAUCCCGCUAGUUAACCUGGAGACAAGUUUGGAAGAACCUUUUGAUAUUAAUUCUGUGCCAAAGGAAGUUAAGUCUCAGCCACUUGCAGAGAAGAAAGCCCCAGGCAAGAAGCCGACUGGUCUUGGUGCACCUCCAGCUGGUCCUCCAUCUACUGUUGAUGCUUAUGAAAGACUUCUUUCCUCCAUCCCAGAGUUCUCAAACUUUGGGAAGCUUUUCAAGUCUUCGGCACCUGUGGAGCUUACAGAGGCAGAGACGGAAUAUGCUGUUAAUGUUAUUAAGCACAUUUUUGAUGGCCAUGUUGUGUUCCAGUUCAAUUGCACCAACACAAUACCAGAGCAAUUACUAGAAAAUGUUAUUGUUAUUGUGGAUGCUUCUGAAGCAGAGGAAUUCUCUGAGGUAGCAUCCAAGCCUUUAAGAUC
rnacentral:misc_RNA from 1 species